UGUAUUAAAAUAGAGUUCAAUGCAAAAGCAAAGGCGAGUAUACAAGUUUGACUACAUAGCAUAAUAGAAUAAAAACUCAUAUCCAACAUGUAACAUAGUGAAUAAAUUUACUAGCAAUGCAAUUUUUGGCGUACUAUAUGAUCAAACCCAAGAAUACAACGCACAAAAAUAGCCUAAUCCCAAUCGUUCAGCGGGGUGGUAAUGUUUAACUUAACAAUACCCAAUUAGAAUAGCGGGCGGGGCGUUAAUCCUAUAGCGCUAUAAUUGUUAAGGCUCUUAUGGUAUACAUGUUGCAUCCCAAAGUGUAA
rnacentral:lncRNA from 1 species